UGUUUCCUACGGGGGGCAGCAGUGGGGAAUAUUGCACAACGGGGGAAACCCUGAUGCAGCGACACCGCGUGAGUGAAGAAGUAUUUCGGUAUGUAAAGCUCUAUCAGCAGGGAAGAAAAUGACGGUACCUGACUAAGAAGCCCCGGCUAACUACGUGCCAGCAGCCGCGGUAAUACGUAGGGGGCAAGCGUUAUCCGGAUUUACUGGGUGUAAAGGGUGCGUAGGUGGCAGGGCAAGUCAGAUGUGAAAGCCCGGGGCUCAACCCCGGUACUGCAUUUGAACCUGUCCAGCUGGAGUGCAGGAGG
rnacentral:rRNA from 1 species